UACGUAGGGGCGAGCGUUGUCCGGAUUUAUUGGGCGUAAAGAGCUCGUAGGCGGUCGUGUCGCGUCGAUCGUGAAAACUUGGGGCUUAACCCUGAGCUUGCGGUCGAUACGGGCAUGACUGGAGUUCGGCAGGGGAGACUGGAAUUCCUGGUGUAGCGGUGAAAUGCGCAGAUAUCAGGAGGAACACCGGUGGCGAAGGCGGCAUCCUGGACCGGUAUUGACGCUGAGGCGCGAAAGCUAGGGGAGCAAACGGG
rnacentral:rRNA from 1 species